UACGUAGGGUGCAAGCGUUGUCCGGAAUUAUUGGGCGUAAAGAGCUCGUAGGCGGCUUGUCGCGUCGGCUGUGAAAACCUGGGGCUCAACCCCGGGCCUGCAGCCGAUACGGGCAAGCUAGAGUUCGGUAGGGGAGACUGGAAUUCCUGGUGUAGCGGUGAAAUGCGCAGAUAUCAGGAGGAACACCGGUGGCGAAGGCGGGUCUCUGGGCCGAUAUUGACGCUGAGGAGCGAAAAGCGUGGGGGAGCAAACAGG
rnacentral:rRNA from 1 species